GGAAGGGUACAGCACAUUGGUGAAGCACCUGCUUAGCAUGCACGAGGUCCUGGGUUCAAUUCCCAGUACCUCCA
rnacentral:tRNA from 1 species